UACGUAGGGGGCAAGCGUUGUCCGGAUUUAUUGGGCGUAAAGCGCUCGCAGGUGGUUCGUCGCGUCGUGCGUGAAAGACCCUGGCUCAACUGGGGGAUGUCGUGCGAUACGGGCGAACUGGAGGCCAGUAGGGGGAUGCGGAAUUCCGGGUGUAGUGGUGGAAUGCGUAGAGAUCCGGAGGAACACCAGCGGCGAAGGCGGCAUCCUGGACUGGUCCUGACACUCAGGAGCGAAAGCGUGGGGAGCGAUCCGGA
rnacentral:rRNA from 1 species